rnacentral:rRNA from 1 species
UGCUAGUCGUGCGCUUCAGCCAAAACGAGGCGCGGCAUACAGCUCAGUAACACGUGGCUAAUCUGCCCUUGGGACGAGAACAACCCCGGGAAACUGGGGCUAAUUCUCGAUAGGUGAAGAACUCUGGAAUGAGUCUUCGCUUAAAAAGCUUCACGUUAUGCUCGUGAAGUCGCCCAAGGAUGAGGCCGCGACCGAUCAGGUUGUUGGUGAGGUAAUGGCUCACCAAGCCUUUUACCGGUGCGGGCCGUGAGAGCGGGAGCCCGGAGAUGGGCACUGAGACAAGGGCCCAGGCCCUACGGGGCGCAGCAGUCGCGAAAACUUUGCAAUACACGAAAGUGUGACAGGGCUAUCCCGAGUGCCAUCCGCUGAGGAAGGCUUUUACCCAGUAUAGAUCGCUGGGGGAAUAAGGAGAGGGCAAGUCUGGUGUCAGCCGCCGCGGUAAUACCAGCUCUCCGAGUGGUGUGGAUGUUUAUUGGGCCUAAAGCAUCCGUAGCUGGCUAAGUUAGUCCCUUGUUAAAUCCACCGAAUUAAUCGUUGGAUUGCGGGGGAUACUGCUUGGCUAGGGGACGAGAGAGGCAGACGGUAUUUCCGGGGUAGGGGUGAAAUCCUAUAAUCCCGGGAAGACCACCAGUGGCGGAGGCUGUCUGCUAGAACGCGCCCGACGGUGAGGGAUGAAAGCUGGGGGAGCGAACCGGAUUAGAUACCGGGUAGUCCCAGCUGUAAACGAUGCAGGCUAGGUGUUUGGACGGCCACGUGCCGUUCUAGUGCCGCAGGGAAGCUGUUAAGCCUGCCGCCUGGGGAGUACGAUCGCAAGAUUGAAACUUAA